UAGAGUUUGAUCAUGGCUCAGAAUCAACGCUGGCGGCGUGCCUAACACAUGCAAGUCGAACGAGAAAGUGGAGCAGUCCAUGAGUACAGUGGCGAACGGGUGAGUAACACGUGACUAACCUGCCUUCGAGUGGGGGAUAACCUCGGGAAACCGGGGCUAAUACCGGAUACUCCGGCGUGAUCGCAUGGUCGUGCCGGGAAAGCUCCGACGGUCCGGGAUGGGCCCGCGGCCUAUCAGCCUGUUGGUGGGGUAACGGCCUACCAAGGCGACGACGGGUAGCUGGUCUGANAGGACGGCCAGCCACACUGGGACUGAG
rnacentral:rRNA from 1 species